UAGACGUCCCUGGAGACUUAAGUCCUCUUUAUCUCCAACAGUUCUACAGCAUGAGGAGGGGCAGCCUCGGCUUCCACUACAGUGAUCUGUCAAGUUGCUUCAACCUCGACUCAGCAGGGUCACUUCCAGGAACAAGGAGAUAAUUCAGCCAUUAUGACCCUGUCCAGCUCUCUAGCUUUU
rnacentral:sRNA from 1 species